UACGUAGGUGGCAAGCGUUGUCCGGAAUUAUUGGGCGUAAAGCGCGCGCAGGCGGUCCUUUAAGUCUGAUGUGAAAGCCCACGGCUCAACCGUGGAGGGUCAUUGGAAACUGGGGGACUUGAGUGCAGAAGAGGAAAGCGGAAUUCCACGUGUAGCGGUGAAAUGCGUAGAGAUGUGGAGGAACACCAGUGGCGAAAGCGGCUUUCUGGUCUGUAACUGACGCUGAGGCGCGAAAGCGUGGGGAGCAAACAGG
rnacentral:rRNA from 1 species